rnacentral:lncRNA from 1 species
GAUUAUAAAAUCUCACCCCUUCUUCCUAUACAUUUUUCAGGCUCAGGACAGUUUGUAGAUAGUCGAGUAGGACGAGAACUAAGGUCGGAACUGCAUUAUAGAAAGUAAGAGUUCACAGUCUUACAUCCUCUUGGUCAAUUGGGGCCCACGUGUCAUUGCAGAUCAAAACUUAUAUUUUGGUUAUCUGUAUUUCUAUUCAUACAAUUUUUACUUUACUUUCAUGUGCGAAAAAUUAUUUACGAAUAUUUUUAUAAAAAUUUAUUUUAUGAGAAAAUAGAAUACUUUAUUUAUUAUUUUUGAAUAGUACUAGUUGUCAAC